rnacentral:rRNA from 1 species
UACGUAGGGUGCAAGCGUUAAUCGGAAUUACUGGGCGUAAAGCGUGCGCAGGCGGUGAUGUAAGACAGAUGUGAAAUCCCCGGGCUCAACCUGGGAACUGCAUUUGUGACUGCAUCGCUGGAGUACGGUAGAGGGGGAUGGAAUUCCGCGUGUAGCAGUGAAAUGCGUAGAUAUGCGGAGGAACACCGAUGGCGAAGGCAAUCCCCUGGGCCGGUACUGACGCUCAGGCACGAAAGCGUGGGGAGCAAACAGG